UACGUAGGGGGCAAGCGUUGUCCGGAAUCAUUGGGCGUAAAGAGCGUGUAGGCGGUCCGGUAAGUCGGCUGUGAAAGUCCAGGGCUCAACCCUGGGAUGCCGGUCGAUACUGCCGGACUAGAGUUCGGAAGAGGCGAGUGGAAUUCCCGGUGUAGCGGUGAAAUGCGCAGAGUAUCAGGAGGAACACCAAUGGCGAAGGCAGCACUCUGGGACGGUACUGACGCUGAGACGCGAAAGCGUGGGAGCAAACAGG
rnacentral:rRNA from 1 species